rnacentral:rRNA from 1 species
UACGUAGGGUGCAAGCGUUGUCCGGAAUUACUGGGCGUAAAGCGCGUGUAGGCGGCUUGGCAAGUCGGGUGUGAAAGCCCUGGGCUCAACCUAGGAAGUGCACUCGAAACUGCUUCGCUUGAGUGUCGGAGAGGAAAGCGGAAUUCUCGGUGUAGAGGUGAAAUUCGUAGAUAUUAGGAAGAACACCAGUGGCGAAGGCGGCUCACUGGAUCGGUACUGACGCUGAGGUGCGAAAGCGUGGGGAGCAAACAGG